rnacentral:tRNA from 4 species
UUUCUUUUAGCUUAAGCUAAAGCGUUAGUUUGAAGAACUAAAGUUAUCUAUUGAGUUAAGGGAAG